ACUUGUUGACACUUUGAAUGAACGCAUCUAUUUCUUAAUCUUCAUGCAAGUAGUAUAUAUAUUUUUACCAAGAGGAAGCAAAGCAUGCGUUAGCUAGACAGAGGAAAAAUUCUUCAUGCACAGGUAUGCGUUAAUUCAGAAUGGAGCCAAAUUAAUGUCUCUUUGUUAAGGUAUUAGUUUAUUAUAAAAAUAAAACAUUUUUGAAUUUUGUAGUGUCAAGAUAGCUAAAUAGUAAAUUCCAAUGAUAUAUUGAUAAUAUGAUACUACAUCUUCCCUUAACUCUGCUGUCAAAUUAUAUAGUUACACACCUAUAUAUCCUAUGAAUUUGAUGAAUAUCAUAGAAGUUUAGUAUAGUUAUAUAUCUUGUUGCACUUCAAGUUCAAGCAGGUUCGUAGCAAUUACUUUGCUGUGAAAUAUCAUAGCUUACUAUUGUUUGUUCUGAAGCUAGCUCUUUACAAACACUUACACACAUGUAGAAAGACUUAACUAAGUCUCCAAUCCAUUUAGACUAAAGUACUCAAAUAUGAAGAAGAGUUCAUCUUGGAAAAAAAAACAUCUUAGGCAUAUAUAACAUGGUCUUAUAUUAUAAUUGAGCACUUCAUUAUUUUGGGAUCAAGUGCAUAUUUUAGUUAAUUCGGUAGUGAAAUUGGUGAAUAAUUGUGUUGCCAAAAUCCUCCUCUAUAAUAGCAAAAAGUUGGCAAAAAAAAAAUGUUUGGUGUCGUAUUUGUGUCAUGUUUUUUGUGUUUACUUGUCAGUAGACCAAUAAAAUUACAACAACAACAACACAAAUCAAACUGUUUCUUCUUAACUUCAAAAAGAAUUUUAUUCAAUAAAAUGAAAAAAGUACAAUUAGUAGAGAAUUCAUGAACCACUCGUAAUACAAACAAAAAUCCAUAUUCUUUCUAGCUAAGAGCCACCCCACGAAUAACUUUAAUAUCAUCCUCUAAAUCACACACCGAGGUACUUUUUUUAGCUUCUCAAAUUUCCAAUUGGUAGUAUGCCGUAUUAACAUUAACCAUUUUGGUAAUUGCAUAUAGUCUUCAAAAUAAUUCAAUUAGACUCUUACAAAAGAGUUGCAAAAAUUUGUAAUGCAGUCACCAACAAGAGACUCACACUAGUGCUUACAAGUCAUCUCACAAACUAUUCUCUUGUUCAUGGAUUGAGAUGCCACAACAAGUCACAAGAUCCCCUAUGUGUAUAGGGAACAGUAGCUUCAUCCAUUCAUGAAUGUCACAUUACUCCACAUUUUUAAAAAAGUUUCACUUCAUGAAAGAAUUUCAAGAUUCUAGUAUUUUUUUUUUUUUUUGUAUUAAAUGUGGAGAAGUGGGGUGUCCGGGGUUCAAACCUCGGCCCCUGCAUAAAUUAUGCAAUGUCUCUGCCAACUGAGCUAAGCUCACGGAGACAGAUUCUAGUAUAUUUCUCAAUCUCUUAAAACGUAUUUAUUUUUAAAUUUCACCACUAUUAAUAUUUACUAUUGUUUGAAAAUUCUUAUUGGAAAAUUCUCAACAGCCGUCGACUCAACAUAUUUUUAUGUUUAAAGAAAUUUUUUAAGUGAGACAUUUUUUAAAGAGUAAUGAUACAUAGACACCCUUUAUUUCCAUACACCCUUGUACAUCCCAUGCAUUAGGAAGAGAGAAGAGGAGAGAAAAGAGAAAGUGUGCUUGUGCGGGGUCCACGUGACUACGUGUCAGAUUUUUGUGUGGGUGUACAAGGAUGUAUUGCCACCUAAGGGUGUCUAUGUAUCAUUACUCUUUUUUAAAUGAGAGCAAUGAAAAAAAUGAAUAUCUUACAAACAAAAAUUAUUCCAAACAUUAGAAGAAUUACUCCAACCCAUAUUGAAAAAGAAACCAUAUAAAAACAGUAGAGUUAUUCCAACCCAUGUACAAAAAGAAACCAACGGCUAAAACAUUUUAGAAGACAAUAACACAUAUCAUAAAAGAGCAUUGCUAGGUAGUGCGAGAAACAAUAGCACGACAGGCACACGAAUCAUGGGGUAGUGGUGUUAUAAUUUCAAAAUACAUGAAAGUUAAAAUAAUUUGCAAUCUCAUGAAGGAUCCUACAGCACUUAUUAAUUCGUUGUUUCUCGUCAUUAGUUUUGUCGCACCAUAAAGCUUUUUCCAUCAUAAAACCAAUUGAGUAGAGUAAACACAACCAGUGUUACCAUGUACAACUAAAAUUUUAAAAGCAAAUUCAACUGUGAUAAACACAUCAAGUGUUGACAUUCAAGUACAAAUUUAUUGUUAUAUAUAUGUAGGCACAUUUAUGGCAAUUGAUCAUCGAUUGCCUAUAGUAUUAAAAUAAAAAUACAUUUGGUCUAUAUAUAUCCAAACUCCAGAGGUUCAUAUAUAUGAACAGCUUACAUCAUUAAGGAUAUAAAAAUAUGUGUGCUUAUUAUGUACACCAACUUGGAGCAAUACUCAUCAAGUUUCCAAAUACUAUAUAUUAAUAUGCAUCAUAUAUCAUCAAGUAAUUACUAUAUGUUCACUUCCAAAGUUCCAUGUGGCAACUGGAGGUAGAAGUUGAAGCAUGUUCCUCAGAAACUUCAUUCUUUUUGGAUCCAUUAUCAAGAAGAGUAAUUUGUUCAGCCACAUGAAGAAUAGCUGCAUUGGAGAAAGAACUAGUUUCUUUAUUAGAAACAUGAUCUUGAUUAUUAUUAUUAUUAUCAUUAUCUUCAUGACUUAGCUGAGAAGCAACAAACUUGUCAAGCACUCUCCAAUCAGUAACUUGUUCAUCAUUGCCAGUACUGCUGUUACCACCAUAAAGUGAGUGAAGAUUUUGUUGAUGGUACUGCAAAUAUUGCAUCUGUUGAGUAAGUGCAAUAUUGUUAUUGUUUGCAUGAGCAUGAUGAUUAUAAGGGAUAAUAGAUUGAGUAAUUUUUGGACUUUCAAGGUGUGGAAGUUGGAGAAAAUUAGCAUCAUGGUAUUGGUGGGGUGUGUUAUAUUGAAUUAAUUCUAGUUCUGGUUUGCAUGAGUGAUAUGAAGUAUAGUUAGGAGGGUGAGAAUUGGUUCGGGUUGGAGAUUCAAGAUCUGGCAUGAAGGAAACUUGAUCAUCAUACCAGUUACAUGGUGAUUGAUCAUACUCAUUCAUUUUUUGCACUGUUGUCAUUCUCUUCUUGAAUACUCUGCAUACAACCCAUCCUUCUUCCUGCGUUACAAGUUAUGAUAGUUAUCAAUCAAACACAUAGCUAGCAUCAUUACUGUUUGAAGUUUUGAACUUGCUAGUUAUAAUAUUCUACCUAAAAGCAGAAAGUAUACACAUGCAUGGUGUAGUUUCGGAGUGUGCAGAAAAAAAAAAGUGAAGAGUUUCUAAUUUGACAUAAUAAUAUUUUGAUAAAAAAAUUGAGGAGGGCUUUAACUAAUUGAGGAAAGAAAAAAGAAGACAGGAUGGUCUACAAACUUGAACCCGAGUUUGUUUUUCUUCAUAGAACAUAAUCAUCCUAAUAUGGAAGAACUUAAAAAUAUAUUAGAGGAGAAUUUUGAAAGAUUUAGAUAAAUUCUUCAAAUCAUUUGAAUAUUUUUAUAAUUCUUUCAAAAUUAUCUAAUUAUGGACCUCUCAAAAAGAGUCCAAAAUGACC
rnacentral:lncRNA from 1 species